UACGAAGGGUGCUAGCGUUGUUCGGAAUUACUGGACGUAAAGCGCGUUUAGGCGGGCCGUUAAGUCGGGGGUGAAAGCCCAGAGCUCAACUCUGGAACUGCCUUCGAUACUGGCGGCCUGGAGCAUGAUAGAGGCGAGUGGAAUUGCGAGUGUAGAGGUGAAAUUCGUAGAUAUUCGCAGGAACACCAGUGGCGAGGGCGACUCGCUGGAUCAUUGCUGACGCUGAGACGCGAAAGCUUGGGAGCAAACAGG
rnacentral:rRNA from 1 species